GUGGUGGAUCAUAUGAUUAUAUCUUUCCUACCAAUGAGUUUGGUCUUCAGAGAGAUCUAGAGAUCAAAGCAUGGUAUUUUACCAUCAAAUUAUUAGUGUUCAUACAUGAAGAUUUGUCUGACUAACUCAUUCCAAUGACUAGUCGUUCUCCUUUCAUUUGUGCCUCUUCCUAAGUCCAGGAUGCAUUAGAAUGAGAGAACGAAAAUGGACUAAAGGA
rnacentral:lncRNA from 1 species